CUCCCUUACCGAUUAGGUCAUCUCAUAACCUAAUUAGACUUGACCUGAUUGAAUCCAAUUCAAUCAAACUUGAUCCAGACUUUAAUGCUUAAUCAAUUUGAGCUAAUUAGUGAUAUAAUCACUAAUUAAUCCUCCAUUGAUGAUAGAGUCCAAGUCUAGUGAGACUCUUCUCUAGAGUCUCCGUCCAGUGAGACUCUUCACCAGAGUCUCCGUCCACUAAAACUCUUCAGAUUAGCCAUAUGAUCAGAGAGAAAUUUCUAUUAUGUGUGACCCUAUAGGUUC
rnacentral:lncRNA from 1 species